GACGAACGCUGGCGGCGUGCUUAACUCAUGCAAGUCGAACGAAGAGCGAUGGAAGCUUGCCUCUAUCAAUCUUAGUGGCGAACGGGUGAGUAACGCGUAAUCAACCUGCCCUUCAGAGGGGGACAACAGUUGGAAACGACUGCUAAUACCGCAUACGAUCUAAUCUCGGCAUCGAGGAUGGAUGAAAGGUGGCCUCUACAUGUAAGCUAUCACUGAAGGAGGGGAUUGCGUCUGAUUAGCUAGUUGGAGGGGUAACGGCCCACCAAGGCGAUGAUCAGUAGCCGGUCUGAGAGGAUGAACGGCCACAUUGGGACUGAGACACGGCCCAGACUCCUACGGGAGGCAGCAGUGGGGAAUCUUCCGCAAUGGACGAAAGUCUGACGGAGCAACGCCGCGUGAGUGAUGACGGCCUUCGGGUUGUAAAGCUCUGUUAAUCGGGACGAAAGGCCUUCUUGCGAAUAGUGAGAAGGAUUGACGGUACCGGAAUAGAAAGCCACGGCUAACUACGUG
rnacentral:rRNA from 1 species